AAAGGAGACCUACCCCCUUUGAUUUUCUUAAUUGAAGAACAAAGGCUGGUCAACUUAGGUCGUUCGGAGCUUUCCGCGCGGAUUAUUUAUAUUCUGCAAUUUCUCGAUACUUCUAAACUAUCCCGGUUCAGGGAUGUGGGCUAUUAGCUCAGGUGGUUAGAGCGCACCCCUGAUAAGGGUGAGGUCCCUGGUUCGAGUCCAGGAUGGCCCACCUUGAUUCACUUGAGUCUCACUUGAUUCAAUGGGGGGGUUUAGCUCAGUUGGUAGAGCGCCUGCUUUGCAAGCAGGAUGUCAACGGUUCGAGUCCGUUAACCUCCACUGAGUUCACGCUCAGACAUGAACCGAUUUUUGGAACAACACAGCAAUUCAUUUGAUUUUACAGAAACUGGAUCAAAGAGCCUGCUGGGGUUAGUCCCAGACAGAGAACCAAGAAAACUGCAUAGUAAGUUGUCAGGUAGAAAUACAGACACCAAUGUAAAGCGCGAAAGGCUCAUGUAUAUGAGUG
rnacentral:tRNA from 1 species